UACGUAGGGGGCAAGCGUUGUCCGGAUUUAUUGGGCGUAAAGAGCGUGUAGGCGGCCACACAGGUCUGCUGUGAAAACUCGAGGCUCAACCUCGAGCUGUCGGUGGAAACCGUGUGGCUAGAGUCCGGAAGAGGAGAGUGGAAUUCCCGGUGUAGCGGUGAAAUGCGCAGAUAUCGGGAGGAACACCGGCGGCGAAGGCGGUUCUCUGGGCCUGUACUGACGCUGAGGAGCGAAAGCGUGGGGAGCAAACAGG
rnacentral:rRNA from 1 species